GGGUAGAAUACAGAUUUUGAUGUCCUCAUUAAGAAAUGGCAAAGAGAACAUUUCCCCCAGUGUCCCCAAUUAUUAACAGAAUGUUUUGAAUUUGCCUAUUCUUUGCACAUGGGAAACUACAUGGUCAUUAGACAGAUGUUGAAACUCACCAAUUUUAUAUCCGGCAGCUGGAGAAGACAAUGGAUGUCAUAUGAAAUAUAGCCAGGGAAGGAGUUCAUAAUCUGCACUAGUAAACUGAAAAUCAUGACUUGUGAUUGUUCACUGUCAUCCAAUAAAAGGCCACACCGCCGUGAUGUGGUAUUGUGUUAUUUGCAGGAUAAUCUAAGGUAUUUAAAAGCAGCCACGAUGGUGAUGGGAAGGUGUACCGUUUAAAGAUUGUCAACAUCAAGAUGUGGAAGGAGACAGUACGUUUAGCAACCAACCAUGAAAUCUUAUUCUGCAGUUGCCUUCUUAAUGGCAUCUCUUAAGCAGAAGGAAUCUUUGCUCAAUUAGAAGUGUUCCUGGAAUGGAAGGCAUGGCACACUCCCACAACCCUUGUCACUUUGCAAACAUACUACUGUAAGAUGCUCCACAAGGGGCGGCCCCUGAAAACUAACUGGAAACUUUACUUAAUACAGAAGGAAGCUCCUUGAGUACCACUGGGAUCUUUCUGAAGUUGUCAUAGAAUGCUAGUAGUUUGGCAUCUACAACAGCUGCUAGAUUGUCUCAGGGUACAAUCCAAGGAGCAAGUAAAUAAUUCACAUAAUCCUUCAUGGCUUGAGGAUGCGAUAGCUGCAGGACCACUUAUUCCAAGUAGAAGGGCUGGUGGGAAGGGACUUGGAUGCAAAUAUUAUCUGCCAAGCUCUUCUCCUGGAGAAAAUCAGCAUCCUUUUAUCUUCAAAAGCUCAUAUUUACGGUGUUCAAAUGUAUUUUUUAAAUCUACGUUUUGACCUCCAUGAACCAUUUCAAAUAAUCGGUGGAAGCUUUCAUUCAAAUUUCCAAUUAUCCAUUUAAAAAUUCUUUUUUCCCCAGCUCUGAUGUCACAUGUAUUUCUUUUAUCUUUAAGAUUAAAGCCUUCAUAAU